AGCGAACGCUGGCGGCAGGCUUAACACAUGCAAGUCGAGCGGGCGUAGCAAUACGUCAGCGGCAGACGGGUGAGUAACGCGUGGGAACGUGCCCUUUGGUUCGGAACAACACAGGGAAACUUGUGCUAAUACCGGAUAAGCCCUUACGGGGAAAGAUUUAUCGCCGAAGGAUCGGCCCGCGUCUGAUUAGCUUGUUGGUGAGGUAACGGCUCACCAAGGCUACGAUCAGUAGCUGGUCUGAGAGGAUGAUCAGCCACACUGGGACUGAGACACGGCCCAGACUCCUACGGGAGGCAGCAGUGGGGAAUAUUGGACAAUGGGGGCAACCCUGAUCCAGCCAUGCCGCGUGAGUGAUGAAGGCCCUAGGGUUGUAAAGCUCUUUCGGCGGGGAAGAUAAUGACGGUACCCGCAUAAGAAGCCCCGGCUAACUUCGUGCCAGCCGCCGCGGUAA
rnacentral:rRNA from 1 species